rnacentral:rRNA from 1 species
UGAGGAAUAUUGGUCAAUGGGCGGGAGCCUGAACCAGCCAAGUAGCGUGAAGGAUGAAGGUUCUAUGGAUUGUAAACUUCUUUUACAGGGGAAUAAAGUUCACCACGUGUGGUGUUUUGUAUGUACCCUAUGAAUAAGGACCGGCUAACUCCGUGCCAGCAGCCGCGGUAAUACGGAGGGUGCGAGCGUUAAUCGGAAUCACUGGGUGUAAAGGGAGCGUAGGCGGGAAGGCAAGUUGGAUGUGAAAACUAUCGGCUCAACCGAUAGACUGCAUUCAAAACUGCUUUUCUUGAGUGAAGUAGAGGCAGGCGGAAUUCCUAGUGUAGCGGUGAAAUGCGUAGAUAUUAGGAGGAACACCAGUGGCGAAGGCGGCUUACUGGACGAUAACUGACGUUGAGGCUCGAAAGCGUGGGGAGCAAACA